UAGCUCAGUUGAUAGAGUGCUUGCCUCAUAUGCAUAAGGCCCUGGGUUCAAUCCCCAG
rnacentral:tRNA from 1 species